rnacentral:tRNA from 1 species
GGGCCCAUAGCUCAGUCGGUAAGAGCGCACGCCUGAUAAGCGUGAGGUCAGUGGUUCGAGUCCACUUGGGCCCA